GAUCCUUUAUUUUCAAAACUUUUUACAAUAAACAAUUUAUUUGGUGUAAUAAGAAAGAAAAAGUGUUUACAAACUUCAGGUCCAAGAUGAAUUUAAUCCAUUCUAUACAGAUGAGUCCUACAGGCCUCCCCUCCAGCCAACCUGCUGGCCCCGUCUCUCUAUGUCAGGGGUCAUGUUAUGGUGACACCCAGCCCGUCUCUCUCCGCCCUGGAGCAGCCUGAGAAGGGCCCAGUUCGAGCGUCUCCCAUGCUGCCUCCUGUGCGGGCCCGCGUGUGUGGCUGGCAUUGUGGGCCCGGGCAGAACCUGGCAGCAGCUGCGCGGUGGCGGGGACCUUGGUAGACGGCGUCCUUUCCGCAGCCGUGUUACUUAGAAGCAGAACCAAAGCAUAUUAGGUAAGUGGUAACAUGAGAAACAAAGCCGAGAGCAAAUGUUUGGGGCUUUGUUCUGAAGGACGCCGAUGGCUCCACAGCGUGAAUGUCUGCGAGGAGAAAUUCACCAGACUGGAACAGCCCGAGCUUUGGGGCCAAACCGCGAGGUGUGAUUGCCACGCGGGAGGCCCUAGAUGGGGAGACCUCACUUACCACUCAGUCUCCACUGCCCUCAAGCAGAGAAGUCGGGGGUAGCGCUACCCUGCCAACCUAACACAGUCAUCAGGUCCAAGUCUCUUAAAGGGUUUCUUCCCCAAAGUUUCAUUUCUUUCUGCUGUCAGGCCUGCAGACUUGGACUAAUUUUCACAAAUGAACAGGAAAUGCAAAAGCAAACUCUGAUUCUUUUGUAGGUGCGGCAAUGCAGAAGCAAUGAGCACCAAGCAUGGCCAUCCAAACAUCUAGGAAGCCAGGUGUUGAACACAGCAUAGCCAUAAAACGGAAGGAGAUUGGGUCCCUGAAUCAGAGGAAAGCCUGUCCGCAAUUAGGCAAACCUGUUUCAACUUUAUGUAGGGGAAGCCAGACACAUUCUAUGACUAUACUCAAGCAGUCCUAUGGAGAGGUACAUGGCAAGGAACAGGGGCCUCCUGCCCACGUGUGAGUGACUGAGCCACUUGGAACCAGAUCCUCCAGAUCCAGUCGAGCCUUCAGGUGAAUGUAGCCCCAGCUAACCUCUUGACUGCAACCUCACAAGAGACCCUGAUCCAGGACCACCCAGCCAAGCUGCUCCUAAAUUCCUGGCCCACAGAAAUUAUAAGAAAUAAUAAACAUUG